rnacentral:rRNA from 1 species
UACGGGGGGGGCAAGCGUUGUUCGGAAUUACUGGGCGUAAAGGGCGCGUAGGCGGCCUACUAAGUCGGACGUGAAAUCCCUCGGCUCAACCGAGGAACUGCGUCCGAUACUGGCAGGCUGGAAUCCGGGAGAGGGAUGUGGAAUUCCAGGUGUAGCGGUGAAAUGCGCAGAUAUCAGGAAGAACACCCGUGGCGAAGGCGGCUCUCUGGGACGGUACUGGACGCUGAGACGGCGAAAGCGUGGGGAGCGAACAGG